AUCAGUUAAUGGACUCAGUUAGUGAGAGUGUGGUGCCGAUAAUGCCAAGGUUGCAGGUUCAAUCCCCAUUUGGGAUG